CUCAAGUAUAUCUUGGCACUUGGAACCCACACUACCAGUGGUGGUUCUGUGGACGCGGCACGGGUCGCUUCUCUUAUGUGACUCUGGGUCUAUACUACACUCUUUUUCCAUAGUAUUUAUCCAGGUUUGUGAGUCCAGACUGCUUUGUUUGUUUGUUUUGAUUUUUUUACAUACACAAGUAUACACUAUACUUAGUAGUGAUGUAGUUAGAAAAUGGUUUGCUUAGAAAAUUUCACUGAAGGCAAUUUCCAGUUUUCCCUUGCCAAUCUCUGACGUGAGUCACAGAGGCCGAGGUCCUUCUCUCUGGGACGGUCAGGGGCUGGUUCUGCCUCUUCAGCAGGCCACAGACCUUCAAAGGCUGCCCCGCCCCUUCCCUGUUCCCAGGAUCGUUUCCAAGGAUCUGAUCCGUCACAAGGAAAGAGGGCAAGCCACAAAAGAGGAGCCGAGAGGAAUCUGGACAGGCUACGCAGGGUUUCCUCCCACAUCUCGGAUCCCUACCGGCACUGGGAGUAAAACCCACAGUCGUGCGUGCCUCUGCUAGGAAUACGGUGUACGGAUGAGCUACACUGCAAGCCCUAUCUGUUCAAGCAUGAAGAAUAAACAGAGUGUGACGUCACUGGAUGGAACACACACUCCGCCUCCGAAAUUGUCUCCUGGUCCACAGCUUUCUCCGGCAUCAAGAUUGACUUUCUAAGCCAGCUCCUGCUGAAAUGUGCUUGUUUUAGACCCCGUGUUGCUUGUUUCUGUAGCAAUGUUGUGACCUCAUGCCCAGGAAUGAAAAUGCAGAACAGCAGGUAUGAUCACCAUGGUAACCUGAAGAGCUCUGGAAUAUUGAAAAUGGAACCAAACUGGGUACAUUUAUCAGUCUAUUUCCUCCAGGCGCUUAUUCUCUUCCACAGGUCUUCCACAUAUCAAGUGUUGACCUUGUCAUGAGACCAUGAAUUCAGCCCCUAGGAGCAUGAAAAAUAGAAACAAACACAGCACAUGCACACUCGCGAGGUUUUGUUUUGUUUUGUUUUGUUUUUGUUUGUUUGUUUCACUCUCUUCUGUUUGCUUUUGGAAAUAAUCAUGGGCUUUUUUAUCUCUUUAUUUUUAAGCAUAACUUUAAAAAAAGAAACAUGACCCUACGUUGGAUUUAGGGAAUGAUAAAUAGUACAGAUAUCUUUUUAUGGACACACACUUUUACAUUAUGUUUAAGAUCAGAAAUGUAUCAUCUGACCUACCUUGUUUACCGUGACCCUUUUGAAGUAGGAAUGCUGUUGGCUUUUUAGCACUCUGUGGUAAGGACUUCCCUACCUGCAAACCAACAAUCUCCUGUCUACCCAGACAAGAUCAAACACAAGGAAUUUACAGUUCUUUGGUUUUUUUUUUUCAAAAUUCAGUCACAUGAAUUUCAAUGUCUUUAGAGAAUAGGAAAUGUAGGUGUUUGGCAUCAAAGCUUCUGUUCGCAGACACCAGGCUGUCUCGCCUCAGUGCAUUGUUUUCUGUGCUUCCUUGUCUUCCUGCCUCUAGGAAUUAUAGCUAAGGACCUGGACCUUAGCUGGAUCUAACCUUCAGUCCUGUGCGUUUCUCAGUAACUACAAAGUCUAGCAGAAGGUCACUCUGCUUCUUUGAAGGGCCUGAUUCUGCUUCUUUAGUGGCAUUGACACAAAUCUGUGGGGCGUUGGCCAUCAUCCUACGAACAGUAAACCGUUGAACGCCGACUGCCUUAAGUAAUGCAUAGCUGGAGAGGCAGCAUGCUUCAUCUGCUGCCUAGCGGCUAAAACCGGCAGUAGCUGGAGGCCCAGGAGCAGGUGAGCAUUCUUGCAUUGAACCUCUGGGAAACUCAGACCAAAGGCUGAAAACUAUACAGUAUUGGGAAAGGACUGGUCCCAAGACUUCUACAGAGAGUAAAAUCAGCAUAUGUCCAAGUGUCUUAAUAAAAUGGCUUGUUGUUUGAC
ensembl:lncRNA